rnacentral:rRNA from 1 species
AGAGUUUGAUCAUGGCUCAGGAUGAACGCUAGCGGCAGGCUUAACACAUGCAAGUCGAGGGGCAGCGGGGUGUAGCAAUACACUGCCGGCGACCGGCGCACGGGUGCGUAACGCGUAUGCAACCUACCCAUAACAGGGGCAUAACACUGAGAAAUUGGUACUAAUUCCCCAUAACAUUCGAAGAGGCAUCUCUUUGGGUUGAAAAACUCCGUGGUUAGUUGGAGU